rnacentral:misc_RNA from 1 species
GAUGAAGAACGUAGCGAAAUGCGAUAAGUAAUGUGAAUUGCAGAAUUCAGUGAAUCAUCGAAUCUUUGAACGCACAUUGCGCCCAUUAGUAUUCUAGCGGGCAUGCCUGUUCGAGCGUCAUUUCAACCCUUAAGCCCUGUGCUUGUGUUGGAGCCCUGCGGCUGCCGCAGGCUCCCAAACCCAGUGGCGGGCUCGUCGUCGUACCGAGUGCAGUAAACAUACCACGCUCAGGGCACGCGACGGGUGACCGGCCGUAAAACCCCCCCCCUUCUCAAGGUUGACCUCGGAUCAGGUAGGAAUACCCGCUGAACUUAAGCAUAUCAAUAAGCGGAGGA